rnacentral:lncRNA from 1 species
UACCAGCGCCGGAGGCAAGGAGAUUGCAAAUGGAAAUCAAUAAUGGAAAGGCCCCUGCCAUAUCUGCUAGCCAUAGCCAAAGCCAUAUAGCCUAUAUUAUGGGCCACUCUCUUACACUUGUUGUGUUCUGUUUUGUUGUUUCUCUGCUCUUCGCUGCGCUGCUCUGCUCUGCUCUGCUUUUCCUUGGCUCGAAUUCAGCUUUUUGCAUAACAGAUAUAACAAACAAACAAACAAACAAACACAUGCAUUAUUAAUUUCGCCUUUUGUUUUCCACUUGCAGUAUUCUUUGGCUGGAAUUCAGAUAUAGCCGGGGAUCGGAAUCGGGAUUGGAAUCAGAAUUGGAAACGGAAUUAAAAUCAUAUAUAUUCGGAUCAAAAAUCGCGCGAGGCAAGUGACUUUAAACGCAGAAAUCAUUGUUCAAUGACAGCAGUCGCGGCAGUUUUUACCGCUGUUGCUACUGCAUCUGCUGCUGGUCACGCCCCUUCCGAAUCCGCCCCCAAAGACGACCCCAUUGCCUCGGAUAAAGCCAAAGUGCACAGUUAACAAAGCCCCAAAGCAACCGAAACUGAAAGAUUUAGUUGUGGUCCUGGUCACAAGUGACUUCAUUGUGAAUAAGCAGAGAACGCAGGACGUAUUUAAAAUAUGCUGGAUAACUUCUCGCAGUGCACUUAAAGAUGCAUACGUGUGUGCGUGGUUGGUAUCAAAUAACGAACAGCAUCCACAACAACCAGCACUCGUUGGCAGGAUGUGCGAAACGGAGUGAUGAUGAGGCAAUUUGUUUAGGCCAGUUAUGCAUCAUUUGGGCGACAGGGCAGUUCAGUACAGAGCAUGGCAAUGGUAAUCGGUGUAUGGUGUCCGAUGUUGAAAGGAUUGUGGAUUGUGGAUUGCGGAUUGAGGACGAAGGACGAUGGGCUUAGCUUUUUUCUGUUUCGCUGGCGGCGGCAAAUGCAACUCACGGAAAGCAUUCAAAAGCAAUUAAGCGCUUUCUUCACAGCCCAGAGAGCGCGACAGAGACGGCCUUAGAUGGUGGAAAAGAGAAGGGCGCACACAUGAGUUGAAAAUGUAAUAUCAUCAAUCAAAAACAAAAAAAAAAAAUGAAGGAACACAAAAAUACAGAGACAGCAGAAAAAAUUAAGGAGGGAGAGUGCCAAAGAAAAGCCAUGCCCAAGCUUAAAACUGGAAAUUCUCUUUUACACCGAAAGAGUUAAUGAUCUGGGAAAUAUCUACGAUGAAAGCUGAUUUGGAAGGU